rnacentral:rRNA from 1 species
GAUGAACGCUAGCGGGAGGCUUAAUACAUGCAAGUCGAACGGUAAGGUCUAGCUUGCUAGAUACACGAGUGGCGAACGGGUGAGUAACGCGUACACAAUCUACCUUAGAGUGGGGAAUAGCCCUGGGAAACUGGGAUUAAUGCCCCAUAGUAUUGUUUUUAUUAUUUAUGAACAAUUAAAACUCCGGUGCUCUAAGAUGAGUGUGCGUCCCAUUAGCUAGUUGGUAAGGUAACGGCUUACCAAGGCGACGAUGGGUAGGGGGCGUGAGAGCGUGGCCCCCCACACGGGUACUGAGACACGGACCCGACUCCUACGGGAGGCAGCAGUAAGGAAUAUUGGACAAUGGGCGAAAGCCUGAUCCAGCCAUCCCGCGUGCAGGAUGACGGCCCUAUGGGUUGUAAACUGCUUUUUUAUGGGAAGAAAAGCUUUGAUUUAUCAGAGUCUGACGGUACCAUACGAAUAAGCACCGGCUAACUCCG